AACGAACGCUGGCGGCAUGCCUAACACAUGCAAGUCGAACGAUCCCUUCGGGGUUAGUGGCGCACGGGUGCGUAACGCGUGGGAACCUGCCCUUAGGUUCGGAAUAACUCAGAGAAAUUUGAGCUAAUACCGGAUAAUGUCUUCGGACCAAAGAUUUAUCGCCUUUGGAUGGGCCCGCGUUGGAUUAGCUAGUUGGUGGGGUAAAGGCCUACCAAGGCGACGAUCCAUAGCUGGUCUGAGAGGAUGAUCAGCCACACUGGGACUGAGGCACGGCCCAGACUCCUACGGGAGGCAGCAGUGGGGAAUAUUGGACAAUGGGCGAAAGCCUGAUCCAGCAAUGCCGCGUGAGUGAUGAAGGCCUUAGGGUUGUAAAGCUCUUUUACCCGGGAUGAUAAUGACAGUACCGGGAGAAUAAGCCCCGGCUAACUCCGUG
rnacentral:rRNA from 1 species